GACGUAGGGCGCGAGCGUUGUCCGGAUUUAUUGGGCGUAAAGAGCUCGUAGGCGGUUUGUCGCGUCUGCUGUGAAAACGCAAGGCUCAACCUUGCGCCUGCAGUGGGUACGGGCAGACUAGAGUGCGGUAGGGGAGAUUGGAAUUCCUGGUGUAGCGGUGGAAUGCGCAGAUAUCAGGAGGAACACCGAUGGCGAAGGCAGAUCUCUGGGCCGUUACUGACGCUGAGGAGCGAAAGCGUGGGGAGCGAACAGG
rnacentral:rRNA from 1 species